GAUGAACGCUGGCGGCGUGCCUAAUACAUGCAAGUCGAGCGAACAGACGAGAAGCUUGCUCCUCUGACGUUAGCGGCGGACGGGUGAGUAACACGUGGAUAACCUACCUAUAAGACUGGGAUAACUUCGGGAAACCGGAGCUAAUACCGGAUAAUAUAUUGAACCGCAUGGUUCAAUAGUGAAAGACGGUUUUGCUGUCACUUAUAGCUGGAUCCGCGCCGCAUUAGCUAGUUGGUAAGGUAACGGCUUACCAAGGCGACGAUGCGUAGCCGACCUGAGAGGGUGAUCGGCCACACUGGAACUGAGACACGGUCCAGACUCCUACGGGAGGCAGCAGUAGGGAAUCUUGCGCAAUGGGCGAAAGCCUGACGGAGCAACGCCGCGUGAGUGAUGAAGGUCUUCGGAUCGUAAAACUCUGUUAUUAGGGAAGAAAAAAUGUGUAAGUAACUAUGCACGUCUUGACGGUACCUAAUCAGAAAGCCACGGCUAACUACGUG
rnacentral:rRNA from 1 species